rnacentral:lncRNA from 1 species
UGUGCGUUAUUGUUUUCUUGUUUGUCGUGUUAGUUGUGUAUUGUCCAAAUUGUUUAUCCCUGCGUGGAUUUUGACUUAUGAGUUUUCUAGAGUAAAUUACGUUAUUUUACUCAGUUCGGUGUCCUGCGCUUGACUCUAUCCUCACCUCCACUAUACUGACAGGUAUACAUAUGCUGGGGUGGCAACUUCAAAGACAGCAGAUUCAUUCUUAAAAGGCCUUGGCACCCUGGUUAUUUGCACUGGACAGAACAAACUACCCAAGGUGGAUUCCACAUUCGAGACAUGAAAUCUACCAGCUGACAUCAGAGAAGAAUUCUCAGACUUCUAAUGCAUGCCACUUGACCAAGCCACAUGAGCAAACCAUUAGCUGGUCAAAGGAACAAGGUGGAGCCAUUUGUCUAACUAACAGAGAACCACACUGUCUUCUGGAGAUGGAUGGUAGCAGGACCUGAGCAGGUCAGACUACAGGUUGAUUAUUGAAUCCCAACUUUUGAAUGUAGAGUCCCAUUUUUAACACAACGUCUACUACCAACACAAGGAAAGUUCAUCACACCAGCAGACAUUCAUAAACAAGUGGCCAGCUGCAACAGUCUCAACCAUGGGGAGUCUAUUCCUAGAUAAACGUCCAGAGCUUCAGGUUUUCGAUACACAUUUUCAUUACCAUGUUCUGCACCAUUGAGAAACUAAGCACUUCUCAAUAUCAUAAAUAUAUACUACAUGACCAAAAGUAUGUGGACACCUGCUUGUCAAACAUGUCAUUCAAAAAUCAUUGGCAUUAAUAUGGAGUUGGUCCCCCCUUUUGCUGCUAUAAUACUCUUCUGGGAAGGCUUGCCACUAGAUGUUGGAACAUUGCUGCGGGGACUUGCUUCCGUUAAGCCACAAGAGCAUUAGUGAGAUCGGGUACUGAUGUUGUGGGAUUAGGCCUGGCUCCCAGUCGGCGUUCCAAUUCAUCCCAAAGGUGUUCGAUGAGGUUGAGGUCAGGGCUCUGUGCAGGCCAGUUAAGUUCUUCCACACCGAUCUCGACAAACCAUUUCUGUAUGGACCUUGUGUUGUGCACAGGGGCAUUGUCAUGCUGAAUCAGGAAAGGGCCUUCCCCAAACUGUUGCCACAAAGUGGGAAGCACAGAAUCAUCUAGAAUAGCAUUGUAUGCUGUAGCGUUAAGAUUUCCCUUCACUGGAACUAAGGGCACUAUGCAUUAGGGCAGGUAGCAUUCUCCUAGCAUCCGCCAAACCCCGAUUCGUCCUGACAGAUGGUGAAGAAUGAUUCAUCACUCCAGAGACGUGUUCCCAUUGCUCGGCCAUGGAAACACAUCUCUGGGUUCCAUAUCGUCAACAUAUGGAAGCUGUGUCUGGACCAGAGAUCUAUGGUGCGUGCUACACCUUCUGCUGUAUGGCAGAUCAUCAGGAGAACAGCUGUCUUGAUAUCCUAGCAACCAUGUUGAUAUGGCAACGCUCCAGGAAACCAUGUUGAUAUGGCAACGCUCCAGGAAACCAUGUUGAU